GACGAACGCUGGCGGCGUGCUUAACACAUGCAAGCCGAACGGAAAGACCCUGCUUUUGUGGGGUGCUCGAGUGGCGAACGGGUGAGUAACACGUGAGUAACCUGCCCUUGACUUUGGGAUAACUUCAGGAAACUGGGGCUAAUACCGGAUAGGAGCUCCUGCUGCAUGGUGGGGGUUGGAAAGUUUCGGCGGUUGGGGAUGGACUCGCGGCUUAUCAGCUUGUUGGUGGGGUAGUGGCUUACCAAGGCUUUGACGGGUAGCCGGCCUGAGAGGGUGACCGGCCACAUUGGGACUGAGAUACGGCCCAGACUCCUACGGGAGGCAGCAGUGGGGAAUAUUGCACAAUGGGCGGAAGCCUGAUGCAGCAACGCCGCGUGCGGGAUGACGGCCUUCGGGUUGUAAACCGCUUUCGCCUGUGACGAAGCGUGAGUGACGGUAAUGGGUAAAGAAGCACCGGCUAACUACGUG
rnacentral:rRNA from 1 species